GUGUUUGCUUCAGUAGCACAGAUACUAAAAUUGGAACAACACAGACAACAUUAGCAUGGCUCCUGAUCAAGGAUGACAUGCAAAUUUGUGAAGUGUUCCAUAUAUAU